AGGACGAACGCUGGCGGUGUGCUUCACACAUGCAAGUCGAACGGGGUAGCAAUACCUAGUGGCGGACGGGUGAGUAACGCGUGGGAAUCUGCCUUAAAAUGGGGGAUAGCUAGCCGAAAGGCUAAUUAAUACCGCAUACGCCUAUAUUUCGACAGUUUUAUAGGUUAAAGGAGUAAUCCGUUUUAAGAUGAGCCCGCGUCCGAUUAGCUAGUUGGUAAGGUAAAGGCUUACCAAGGCUACGAUCGGUAGGUGGCCCGAGAGGGCGAUCACCCACAAUGGAACUGAAACACGGUCCAGACUCCUACGGGAGGCAGCAGUGGGGAAUUUUGCGCAAUGGGGGAAACCCUGACGCAGCAACGCCGCGUGGAGGAUGAAGUCCCUUGGGACGUAAACUCCUUUCGAUCGGGACGAUAAUGACGGUACCGAGAGAAGAAGCCCCGGCUAACUACGUGCCAGCAGCCGC
rnacentral:rRNA from 1 species